ensembl:lncRNA
AACAGGUGGGGAUAGUGUGGAACAGGUGGGGACAGUGGGGAACAGGUGGGGAUAGUGUGGAAGAGGUGGAGCCAGCGGGGAACAGGAGGGGAAGAGGUGGAGCCAGUGGGGAACAGGUGGGGACAGUGGGGAACAGGUGGGGACAGUGGGGAACAGGUGGGGACAGUGGGGAACAGGUGGAGACAGUGGGGAACAGGUGGGGCCAGCGGGGAACAGGAGGGGAAGAGGUGGAGCCAGCGGGGAACAGGUGGGGACAGUGGGGAACAGGAGGGGACAUUGGGGAACAGGUGGGGACAGUGGGGAACAGGUGGGGAAGAGGUGGAGCCAGCAGGGAAGAGGUGGGGACAGUGGGGAACAGGUGGGGACAGUGGGGAACAGGUGGGGGCAGUGGGGAACAGGUGGGGACAGUGGGGAACAGGUGGGGACAGUGGGGAACAGGUGGGGACAGUGGGGAACAGGUGGGGACAGUGGGGAACAGGUGGGGACAGUGGAGAACAGGUGGGGGCAGAAAAUAACAGGUGGGGACAGUGGAGAACAGGUGGGGGCAGAAAAGAACAGAUGGGGAACAGGUGGGGGCAGUGGAGAACAGGUGGGCAGAAAAUAACAGGUGGGGAACAGGUGGGGAUAGUGGAGUACAGGUGGGGACAGUGGAGAACAGGUGGGGACAGUGGAGAACAGGUGGGGACAGUGAAGAACAGGUGGGGGCUAGUGGUUAGGAAGCAUGGGGGGACACGGAAACAGAGACAGAGUGUGUAGUGAGAGACAUAAAUAGAGACAGACAGACAAUGCUCUCUAA